GGGCAAGUCUUAUACGACCAGCUCCCAAAGAACUCCCCCAGGAUCGGAAGGUAGCAAGGGUAUUUGGUUGUAGCGGUGCGAUGUAAGUAGCUUGCCCUUU
rnacentral:SRP_RNA from 1 species